rnacentral:rRNA from 1 species
CAGCAGCCGCGGGAAAACGAAGGUCCCAAGCGUUGUUCGGAAUCACUGGGCGCAAAGGGAGCGUAGGCGGCGUGGUAAGUCAGAUGUGAAAUCCCGGGGCUCAACCCCGGAACUGCAUCCGAUACUGCCAUGCUUGAGGGUUGGAGAGGUAGCUGGAAUUCUCGGUGUAGCAGUGAAAUGCGUGGAUAUCGAGAGGAACACUCGUGGCGAAGGCGAGCUACUGGACAACAUCUGACGCUGAGGCUCGAAGGCUAGGGUAGCGAAAGGGAUUAGAUACCCCUGUAGUCCCUGUCCUCUUAUA